rnacentral:rRNA from 1 species
AUUGAACGCUGGCGGCAUGCCUUACACAUGCAAGUCGAACGGUAACGGGCCUUCGGGUGCCGACGAGUGGCGAACGGGUGAGUAAUGUAUCGGAACGUACCUUUCAGUGGGGGAUAACGUAGCGAAAGUUACGCUAAUACCGCAUAUUCUGUGCGCAGGAAAGCAGGGGAUCGCAAGACCUUGCGCUGACUGAGCGGCCGAUAUCAGAUUAGCUAGUUGGUGAGGUAAAGGCUCACCAAGGCGACGAUCUGUAGCGGGUCUGAGAGGAUGAUCCGCCACACUGGAACUGAGACACGGUCCAGACUCCUACGGGAGGCAGCAGGGGGGAAUUUUGGACAAUGGGGGCAACCCUGAUCCAGCCAUGCCGCGUGAGUGAAGAAGGCCUUCGGGUUGUAAAGCUCUUUCGGCCGGGAAGAAAUCGUAUGGGCUAAUACCCUGUGCGGAUGACGGUACCGGCAUAAGAAGCACCGGCUAACUACGUGCCAGCCGCCGCCGUAAAAC